UUGGAGGGCAAGUCUGGUGCCAGCAGCCGCGGUAAUUCCAGCUCCAAUAGCGUAUAUUAAAGUUGUUGCAGUUAAAAAGCUCGUAGUUGAAUUUCGGGAUCAAUAUAUCGGUCGUGCCAUCGGUACGUACUGGUAUGAUUGGUUUCUCCUUUCUGACGAACCAUGAUGUCAUUAAUUUGGUGUUAUGGGAAGUUAGGACUGUUACUUUGAAAAAAUUAGAGUGUUUAAAGCAGGCUUUGGCUUGAAUACAUUAGCAUGGAAUAAUGAAAUAGGACGUUCGAACCUAUUUUGUUGGUUUCUAGGAUCAACGUAAUGAUUAAUAGGGAUAGUUGGG
rnacentral:rRNA from 1 species